GGCGUGGCUCGCGCGUCACGCUUUUAUAAGCCCACGGUUAUCGCCCCUUCCGCCAUUUCCUCGUUAGUAAGCUGCCUUGGAAGUCCGCGAAGACUCAACUCCUGUAAAGAUGUCUGACGAAGGAAAACUUUUCGUUGGUGGGCUCAGCUACGACACCACUGAGCAGUCAUUGGAGGAAGCCUUCUCCAAAUAUGGGACCAUCUCAAAAGUUGAUGUGAUCAGGGAUCGGGAGACAGACCGCUCAAGGGGUUUCGGCUUUGUCACUUUCGAGAAUCCUGAAGAUGCCAAGGACGCCAUGUUUGCAAUGAACGGAAAGUCUGUUGAUGGCAGGAUGAUCAGGGUGGACGAGGCCGGCAAGUCUGGCGGCAGGUCCGGCGGAGGCUUCAGGAGAGGCGGCGGCGGAUUCCGAGGAGGCUUCCGUGGCGGACGUGGCAGAGGCGAGGGAGGCGGAAGCUACGGAGGUGACAGGAGCUACGGCGGAGACAGAAGCUACGGCGGGGACAGGAGCUACGGCGGAGACAGAAGCUACGGAGGUGACAGGAGCUACGGCGGCAGCGACAGGAGCUACGGCGGUGGCGGCGGAGGCGGAUACAGGAGCAGCGGCGGAUACUCCUCUGGCGGUGGCGGAUACAGGGGGAGCAGAAAUUCAGAAGCAGAAUGAAGGGAACAUGAGGAAGUGGAGGCUAUGAGGGCGGCUCCUACAGAGACAGCUAUGACAGUUAUGCUGCACACGAGUAAAAAAAACUUCCUGGUUUCAAGAUCAUCCCCCUGCGCUGGCUGUAUUUAAAAAGAUGUGCUCUUCGAAGAUUUUUUUUUUUUUUUUUAAAUGGUGUGUCCUCCUGGUUCCUGCAUUCCAUCGAUCAUACUACAGAAAUGAAUCCUUUUUUUGUGUGUGUGUUAAUUGAGUUUUGUUUGUUUUUUCGAAAGGGAUCUCCAUCCUUAAAGGCAGUGCGAGAUCCUGUUGGAGUAUUGUUGUGAAACGUGAAUGACCAUGUAAAAGCUGUAAAGUUGAAAAUGCUCUGCUCUGCUCCCAUCAUCACAGCCCAAUAGCUUCUGGAAAUCUAAAUUCAGUCCUUCAACCACCAUUCAGAAUGUCUAGUUAGCAGCAGGGCCAGCAAAUCAUUUAAGUUUUUGUAUUUUUCAACUGGAUUUUUUUUAUGUUGACCCUGCUAUUUUUUGGAGGAAAAAAGAAAUUGAAAAUCCAUGUCUUUGAGAGAAGCUGGACUAGCUGUGAUGUGUUCUGUGCGACUUUCUUUCUGUACUGCAUACCUUUACCUGUAGCAAGGCGGGUGUGCUCCCGAGGACUCGUAUGUUUCCCCGCAAACCUCCUUGGUAUGGCUAAAGAGUUUUGUGAACAUUCAGUAAGCAAAGAGUGAACUUUCUCUGGGAAGACAAUGCGACCUUUUUGGCGAUGGCAAAAAAAAAACACCCCCUCGGGUGGUGACCCGAGGCUCUUUACUCUUUGAACAUUGAAUUUUUAAAAAGUAUGCUCUUUGGUGGACUGAACUUAAAGAAAAUUCUUAAAAUGUCUCCAGUUGUGUUCGUUGAGGUGAUCUGUCCUGUGUACCAACACCUCGUAAGAAACAUUAAUUUCUUUUUACAGUUUCUUUUGUAAAAUUUUGGCUUCAUGGAGCCUAUUAAACAAGCCAUUGGAAAAAACCCUGAUCUUGUU